UAGGGAAUAUUGGUUAAUCUGCGAGAGCGGGAACCAGCAACGCCGCGUGCACGAUGAAGGCCUUCGGGUUGUAAAGUGCUUUUUGAGAGGAUGAGGAAGGACAGUACUCUUAGAAUAAGCUUCGGCUAACUACGUGCCAGCAGCCGCGGUAAAACGUAGGAAGCGAGCGUUAUCCGGAUUUACUGGGCGUAAAGCGUGUGUAGGCGGUUUGAUAAGUUGGAUGUGAAAGCUCCCGGCUUAACUGGGAGAGGUCGUUCAAAACUAUCAGACUCGAGAGUGGUAGAGGGAGGUGGAAUUCCGGGUGUAGUGGUGAAAUACGUAGAUAUCCGGAGGAACACCAGUGGCAAAAGCGGCCUCCUGGCCCAUUUCUGACGCUCAGACACGAAAGCUAAGGUAGCAAACGG
rnacentral:rRNA from 1 species